AACGCGAAGAACCUUACCUGGGCUCGAAAUGCAGUGGACCGGGGUGGAAACAUCCCUUCCCGCAAGGGUCGCUGUAUAGGUGCUGCAUGGCUGUCGUCAGCUCGUGUCGUGAGAUGUUGGGUUAAGUCCCGCAACGAGCGCAACCCUUAUUGUCAGUUGCCAUCAUUUAGUUGGGCACUCUGGCGAAACCGCCUCGGAUAACGGGGAGGAAGGUGGGGAUGACGUCAAGUCCUCAUGGCCUUUAUGUCCAGGGCUACACACGUGCUACAAUGGUCGCUACAAACCGUCGCAACCCCCUGAGCGGGAGCUAAUCCGAAAAAGCUCACCUCAGUCCGGCUUCAAGUCUGCAACUCCACUUCAUCAAGCCGGACUCGCUAGUAAUAGGGCACCCCACCCCGCGGAUCAGCCC
rnacentral:rRNA from 1 species